UCACAAAACGAUUAGAAUCUCAAGGAUAGCUUCAGCUGACAACCUGCUGUGGUGCAAAGCCUUUAUAUUUACCAAAGGCUCUUAGCUUUCUGAUGUAAGUCGAUGUUUUCCCAGUUUAACAAAAAUGAAUAGGCUCUAUUGGAGAAAAAUUGGUUUGGAAUGAGCCAAAAUUCAAUCUUGUUACCAAGGUUCACGUGACAGGUACUUCCGCUCUCGACAUUACAGUUGCAAGAACUCCUCAAAUCCCUGUAGCUAGCUGUAAUACUUGGAAUUUGUUCCGUGUUACUAUCAAUGGCGUCGACUGAGUUUUGUGAAGCUGUGGCUUAUGCUCUUCGUUGCGUUGGUCUAAAGGAUCUCACACUGAAGCCAAAGCAAAAGGAGGCUCUCAUCCACCUGUAUGACAAUCAUGAUGUCUUUGUUUGGUUCCCCACGGGCUAUGGCAAGUCUUUGUGCUUCCAACUGCUCACUGAAGCAGACAAGCUCUAGCUCUACAAGAGUUGAGAGAAGUGUUGUGCUGGUGCUGUCACCACUAGUGUCUCUGAUAAUAGACCAGGUUUCAGGCCUCCGGAAGAUCAAGAAGGGUGUCUCUGCUGUUAUAAUUAUUGUCUGGCAACAAAGAUGUCGAGAAGGUGAGUGACGUGUCCGAGGGUCGGUUCUCUCUCCUCUAUAGUGCUCCCGAGGCACUCCUUGGCAGAGAAGCGUAGAAGCAGCUCUUGGUCCAACGUCCCCUCUGUGACUCUGUAGUGGCAGUCGCUGUUGACGAAGCACACUGUGCGUAUAAGUGGUACAGAGAUCUACCGUUGGGUUGCUGAGUACUGGCAGUCUCAACAGAAGGUGCUUGAGUAUAACGUUGCUCCGAUCCCUCAGCGGCACGGCACGUCUUGUUGAUAUGAAGCAGUGACUAACAAAAUUAAUUAACAGUAAUUUUUACUCUCUUGUUUUUAUAUUACUCUUGUCCUGGACGGGGAAACAGAGUCGCCUUCCAGCGGCUCCAACGGUCUGACGCUUAGCUAAUGGUGGUCUUGCUACGUGUACGUGUGUGUGUGUGUGGGAGAAACCCCUACCCCACUAGUGUCUUUGGAUAUCUUUCUCGGAGCCGAUUACUCGUCGGCUGCCAGUGACACUUGUGAGAGGCCUGGGCAGCCAUCUCUAGCUCUCUGUUGUUUUAAUGUAUUUUUCCUACGAACCAUGCGGUUUAACGUAUUCUCAUUUUGUUUAUUUUCCGUUUUAUUAUCAACAAUAAAUUUAGCGCAUGUGCACUAA